rnacentral:lncRNA from 1 species
CCAGCCUCGGCGAAUUACACCACUAGGCUCAUGAUGUACUAAAUGAAAGCGAAAGCAGUAAUUGCAAGAUAUAUAUAAUUAUGCAAUACUAACAGGUAAUGAGCAUGUAAGCAACAUGUAAUCACGGCUUCAACAGUAAUGGAUCAACUGAAAUAAUAGAAGCAAAGCAACUAUGAUACGCAUGAACAUAAGCAUAAAUGUGUAAGUAACUACUAUACACUGUAACUGGUAAUCAUUCAUUACUGUCCAAUUUCCUUUAGCACUUUCCUUUCAUUCACAGGGAUCUACUCAAGGUAGUCCAGCUUGCGCCGCGCCUAAUGGCCCCGUGGUAGUAUACACUCCCCACGGCAAUCCACUUCGGCACCCAAUCCCGCACGGGCGAGCAACUGUCGCGUAGGCCAACUCCGGAGUGCCGGCUUGUAGGGAGCUACCCUCACAAGCGUGUGCGAAUGAGCACAAUGGCAAGCAAGCAAAGUCCACAGUCCAACAUGUCUCAAUUAUCAUGGUUUAGUUCACAAUAUUCUCGCUCUUGAUCCUUUGAUCGACAUUUCAGUAUAACAAAUAUUAACAACAACUAGAAUCCACUAGUUUAAUAAGCAUGCAGGAGUAAUGUUAAUUUACAUAUGGCAUUAAAAUCUUUCCACUAUUAUGGAGACAUAAAGCAUGUCAUUGUUCUCUACUUUAGAGUUCAGAGAAUGUCAUAAGAACGUCGUUGUUCUCUAGUAUCUAGGAACAUACUAGAACAUAUUAACUAGUCAGCUUAAACAUGAAUACUUUAUGCAUGUAUGUUCUUUACUUAAUAGAGAUUUCAUUCUACUUAAUCAUCAAAUAUCACCAUGAUAUGUUUCCAAUUCUCUAUCAGUCACAUAUGCACUCAAUGCACCUAUGCGAUUAUUCUAUUCUGUAAAUACAUAUAGAACAUAGAGGAGCUCCACUUGCUCUGGUUAGGUC